UACGUAGGUGGCAAGCGUUGUCCGGAAUUAUUGGGCGUAAAGAGCUCGUAGGCGGUUUGUCGCGUCUGCUGUGAAAACCUAAGGCUCAACCUUGGGCUUGCAGUGGGUACGGGCAGACUAGAGUGCGGUAGGGGUGACUGGAAUUCCUGGUGUAGCGGUGGAAUGCGCAGAUAUCAGGAGGAACACCGAUGGCGAAGGCGGCUCACUGGCCCGGUACUGACGCUGGAGGU
rnacentral:rRNA from 1 species